AGUGGUGCUACCCGGAAAUCACCUAAUUUUACCUGAUCUCAGAAGCUAAGCUUGGCCAAGACUGAUCAAUGUUUGGAUAGGAGAGAAGGUCAGUAAAGGGCCAGAA
ensembl:rRNA predicted gene, 22164